rnacentral:rRNA from 1 species
UACGUAGGGUGCAAGCGUUGUCCGGAAUUAUUGGGCGUAAAGAGCUCGUAGGUGGCCUGUCGCGUCGGCUGUGAAAACUCGGGGCUCAACUCCGAGCUUGCAGUCGAUACGGGCAGGCUAGAGUUCGGCAGGGGAGACUGGAAUUCCUGGUGUAGCGGUGAAAUGCGCAGAUAUCAGGAGGAACACCGGUGGCGAAGGCGGGUCUCUGGGCCGAUACUGACACUGAGGAGCGAAAGCGUGGGUAGCAAACAGG